GAGUGUCGAGUUGCUCCAUCUAACCAUCGAUGAUUAUGGUCCAUGGUUAGAUGAAGCAACUCGACACUU
rnacentral:pre_miRNA from 1 species